rnacentral:lncRNA from 1 species
AGGCUGAUCACAAAGAACAGAUUGCUGAACUCAAGGCAGCUGAGUCUCUGUCUGGGAAGGAUGGCAAUGAUACCACUGAAACAAAGGAACUUGGGGUUGCCAUGAGGUUGCUGUGUUAAAACCCAGUAGACGCCGAAUUGCAGGAUAUGGUCCAAGAAUGCAUGUUGAUGGAAUGGCAUCAUUCAUUUCCCAAAAUAUUAAGUCAUGGUGGCUAGAAAAGGGAAAGAUACAGAUAGCAAAGAAGAAAUCUGUAAAGUGUUCCAAGUCUCUGACAAGGAUGGUGAUGGCCAUGUCAGUCCAGCAGAACGGUAUCACCUGACAAACUCAGACAAUUAACAAAUGAAAUGGCUAGAGAUUCAAGAUAUUGAUGGGGAUGGAC